rnacentral:rRNA from 1 species
UGCGUAGGCGGGGCAAUUAGUCAGUGGUGAAAUCCUGCGGCUUAACCGUAGAACUGCCAUUGAUACUGUUGCCCUUGAGUAUAGUUGAAGUGGGCGGAAUAUGUAAUGUAGCGGUGAAAUGCAUAGAGAUUACAUAGAACACCAAUUGCGAAGGCAGCUCACUAAGCUAUCACUGACGCUGAGGCACGAAAGCGUGGGGAGCGAACAGGAUUAGAUACCCUGGUAGUC